rnacentral:rRNA from 1 species
UACAGAGGGUGCGAGCGUUAAUCGGAUUUACUGGGCGUAAAGGGCGCGUAGGCGGUGAGAUGUGUGUGAUGUGAAAGCCCCGGGCUCAACCUGGGAAGUGCAUCGCAAACUAUCUGACUAGAGUAUAUGAGAGGGUGGCGGAAUUUCCGGUGUAGCGGUGAAAUGCGUAGAUAUCGGAAGGAACGUCAAUGGCGAAGGCAGCCACCUGGCAUAAUACUGACGCUGAGGCGCGAAAGCGUGGGGAGCGAACAGGAUUAGAUACCCCGGUAGU